rfam:Bat coronavirus 1A, complete genome
CUACUUAUACUAAAAUGUAAGCCUGUAUUUAAGCAGUAUAAGCAAUACUUAAAUAUAUUA